GUGUGUGUGUGUGUGUGUGUUUCUGCUGGAUUAAGUUUGCAAUUUACUUAAGAACUUUAACCAGCCAUUUAACUACAGAGAAGAACUUAUGACCCAUUUAAAAGAAAGAUAGCUUUCUCUUGUUUAUUAGUGUUCCUGCUUGGCUUGACCUUAAAAGACACAAAACCACAUAUUUCCAGUUAUAGAAAGUGCAAUCGAAAUUAUGACAUUAUCCUAUUUAACUGAAUCUUAUAUCAUUAUUCCAAAAGAAAUUAAAUAAUUAUCAUUGUUUUCUGACCUAAAGGUUUGAUCAUAUUUGUCUCUGUAAUUUCGAUCUUAAAUAGUCUCAGAUGAACCAAGGCCAAUGUCAAUCACCUCUUAGGAUCUCCAUUGCUUUUGUAGGUACUUGCAUAAGGGUGGUGGCAGUUAUUGGGAAAAUGUAUACUCAGAUGAACUGUAAUUAGUAUGAAGUACUUAAAAGGUCUGUGGAAGGUUUGCACAGUAAGAAUUUUAUUUAGAAAAAGCAAGACCCAUUAAAGAAAAAAAUAAAGAAUUUUAUGUGGUUGAAUGGUGGUGCUAAUAAACUAAAGCUAAGAGCCUAUAUUCUAAGAGCCUAUAUUUACUUAACAAAGGAAUGCUACAAGAUAAUAAAAAAGGCAAUAUAUUAGCUAUUUUUGUUUUGUUUAUUUUUUACUAAUCUAUAACAUAACAAGCUCAAUUUCUAUGCAUCCAAACAAUAUAUAUUUAUUUCUGGCUCAUUUCACUGUCUACGGCAUAUCAAGGCAACAUAAAUGAAGCAAGAACACAAAGUGCUUUCACCUUACUGCUCCUUCAUUUUUUGUAUAUAAGAAAUCUUUUUAUUCUUCUAUGUGCUGAGAAAGCAAGCAGAAAAGACACAGAAGAAGUUAGACAUAGAGAUCAGGACUCGUGAUCUUUCUAGAGCAGUUACUCAGGAAGUUUAAAUUGGAGAAUCACUUCAACCCAGGGUUAUGACUUCAGUGUAGGCAACAUAGUGAGGCCACACAUCACAAAAAGACAGAGGAGGGGAAUGGAGCAGGGGAGAGAAUGGAGGAGAGAGGAUAAAGUAAAGG
rnacentral:lncRNA from 1 species